AAACUGUGAUGAUAUGAUUACCGCCCCAGGCUGAUGAUUGUGAUUGAUUGGAUUUAACUGACUGUUU